rnacentral:rRNA from 1 species
CCUACGGGAGGCAGCAGUGGGGAAUAUUGGGCAAUGGGCGCAAGCCUGACCCAGCAAAGCCGCGUGAAGGAAGAAGGCUUUCGGGGUGUAAAAUUCUUUUAAGAGGGAAAAGAAGAAGACGGUACCUCUUGAAUAAGCCACGGCUAACUACGUGACAGCAGCCGCGGUAAUACGUAGGUGGCAAGCGUUGUCCGGGUUUACUGGGUGGAACGGGCGUGUAGCCGGGCUGAUAAGUCAUAUGUGAAAUUCCGGGGCUCAACCCAGGACUUGCAUUUGAAACUGUUGGUCUUGAGUAUCGGAGAGGCAGGCGGAAUUCCUAGUGUAGCGGUGAAAUGCGUAGAUAUUAGGAGGAACACCAGUGGCGAAGGCGGCCUGCUGGACGACAACUGACGGUGAGGCGCGAAAGCGUGGGGAGCAAACAGGAUUAGAUACCCCAGUAGUC